AAUAACAAUUUAGAUAACGACUCACCAGA
rnacentral:sRNA from 1 species